rnacentral:rRNA from 1 species
AUUGAACGCUAGCGGGAUGCUUUACACAUGCAAGUCGAACGAGUGGCGGAAGGGUGAGUAAUAUAACGGAAAGUGCCCAGUAGCGGGGGAUAAAUACUCGAAAGAGUGGCUAAUACCGAAGUCUAUUGGAGAGGCCGAUAUCGGAUUAGCUAGUUGGGGGGGUAAAGGCUCACCAAGGCAACGAUCCGUAGCUGGUUGGAGAGGACGACCAGCCACACUGGGCCUGAGACACGGCCCAGCCUCCUCAGUGAGGCAGCAGUGGGGAAGUUUGGACAAUGUGGGAAACCCUGAUCCAGCCAUCCCGCGUGUAUGAGAAGGCCUUCGGGUUGUAAAGUACUUUUGGCAGAGAAGCGGUAUCUGCAUAAUAAGCACCGGCUAACUACGUGCCAGCAGCCGCGGUAAUAC